UACGUAGGGGGCGAGCGUUGUCCGGAUUUAUUGGGCGUAAAGAGCGUGUAGGCGGCCAGGUAGGUCUGCUGUGAAAACUCGAGGCUCAACCUCGAGACGUCGGCGGAAACCAUCUGGCUAGAGUCCGGAAGAGGAGAGUGGAAUUCCUGGUGUAGCGGUGAAAUGCGUAGAGAUCAGGAGGAACACCCAUGGCGAAGGCAGCUCUCUGGUCGACCUCUGACGCUGAGACGCGAAAGCGUGGGGAGCGAACGGG
rnacentral:rRNA from 1 species